CGUGUGUGAAGAAGGCCUUCGGGUUGUAAAGCACUUUCAGUCGUGAGGAAGGUAGUGUAGUUAAUAGCUGCAUUAUUUGACGUUAGCGACAGAAGAAGCACCGGCUAACUCCGUGCCAGCAGCCGCGGUAAUACGGAGGGUGCGAGCGUUAAUCGGAAUUACUGGGCGUAAAGCGCAUGCAGGUGGUUUGUUAAGUCAGAUGUGAAAGCCCGGGGCUCAACCUCGGAAUAGCAUUUGAAACUGGCAGACUAGAGUACUGUAGAGGGGGGUAGAAUUUCAGGUGUAGCGGUGAAAUGCGUAGAGAUCUGAAGGAAUACCGGUGGCGAAGGCGGCCCCCUGGACAGAUACUGACACUCAGAUGCGAAAGCGUGGGGAGCAAACAGGAUUAGAUACCCUGGUAGUCCACGCCGUAAACGAUGUCUACUUGGAGGUUGUGGCCUUGAGCCGUGGCUUUCGGAGCUAACGCGUUAAGUAGACCGCCUGGGGAGUACGGUCGCAAGAUUAAAACUCAAAUGAAUUGACGGGGGCCCGCACAAGCGGUGGAGCAUGUGGUUUUAAUUCGAUGCAACGCGAAGAACCUUACCUACUCUUGACAUCCAGAGAACUUUCCAGAGAUGGAUUGGUGCCUUCGGGAACUCUGAGACAGGUGCUGCAUGGCUGUCGUCAGCUCGUGUUGUGAAAUGUUGGGUUAAAGUCCCGCAACGAGCGCAACCCUUAUCCUUUGUUUGCCAGCGAGUAAUGUCGGGAACUCCAGGGAAGACUGCCGGUGAUUAAACCGGGAGGAAGGUGGGGACGACGUCAGUCAUCAUGGGCCCUUUACGAGUAGGGCUACACACGUGCUACAAUGGGCGGCAAUACAG
rnacentral:rRNA from 1 species